AUUGAACGCUGGCGGCAUGCCUUACACAUGCAAGUCGAACGGUAACAGGUCUUCGGAUGCUGACGAGUGGCGAACGGGUGAGUAAUACAUCGGAACGUGCCCAGACGUGGGGGAUAACGAGGCGAAAGCUGUGCUAAUACCGCAUACGAUCUAAGGAUGAAAGCAGGGGACCGCAAGGCCUUGCUCGUUUGGAGCGGCCGAUGGCAGAUUAGGUAGUUGGUGGGAUAAAAGCUUACCAAGCCGACGAUCUGUAGCUGGUCUGAGAGGACGACCAGCCACACUGGGACUGAGACACGGCCCAGACUCCUACGGGAGGCAGCAGUGGGGAAUUUUGGACAAUGGGCGAAAGCCUGAUCCAGCAAUGCCGCGUGCAGGAUGAAGGCCUUCGGGUUGUAAACUGCUUUUGUAAGGAACGAAAAGGCUCUGGCUAAUACCUGGGGCACAUGACGGUACCGUAAGAAUAAGCACCGGCUAACUACGUG
rnacentral:rRNA from 1 species